GACGAACGCUGGCGGCGUGCUUAACACAUGCAAGUCGAACGGAAAGGCCCUGCUUUUGUGGGGUGCUCGAGUGGCGAACGGGUGAGUAACACGUGAGUAACCUGUCCUUGACUUUGGGAUAACUUCAGGAAACUGGGGAUAAUAUCGGAUAGGAGCUCCUGCUGCAUGGUGGGGGUUGGAAAGUUUCGGCGGUUGGGGAUGGACUCGCGGCUUAUCAGCUUGUUGGUGGGGUAGUGGCUUACCAAGGCUUUGACGGGUAGCCGGCCUGAGAGGGUGACCGGCCACAUUGGGACUGAGAUACGGCCCAGUCUCCUACGGGAGGCAGCAGUGGGGAAUAUUGCACAAUGGGCGGAAGCCUGAUGCAGCAACGCCGCGUGCGGGAUGACGUCCUUCGAGUUGUAAACCGCUUUCGCCUGUGACGAAGCGUGAGUGACGGUAAUGGGUAAAGAAGCACCGGCUAACUACGUG
rnacentral:rRNA from 1 species